GUGCUCGCUUCAGCAGCACGUAUACUAAAAUUGGAAUGAUACAGAGAAGAUUAGCUUGGCCCCUGCGCAAGGAUGACACGCAAAUUCAUGAAGCAUUCAAAAAACAG
rnacentral:snRNA from 1 species